AUACGGAGGAUGCAAGCGUUAUCCGGAUUCAUUGGGUUUAAAGGGUGCGCAGGCGGAAUGAUAAGUCAGUGGUGAAAUCUCCCGGCUCAACCGGGAAACUGCCAUUGAUACUGUCAUUCUUGAGUACAGUUGAAGUGGGCGGAAUGUGUCAUGUAGCGGUGAAAUGCUUAGAUAUGACACAGAACACCGAUAGCGAAGGCAGCUCACUAAGCUGUAACUGACGCUCAUGCACGAAAGCGUGGGGAUCAAACAGGAUUAGAUACCCUGGUAGUCCACGCUGUAAACGAUGAUCACUCGUUGUUGGCGAUAUACUGUCAGCGACUGAGCGAAAGCAUUAAGUGAUCCACCUGGGGAGUACGGCGGCAACGUUGAA
rnacentral:rRNA from 1 species